CCUACGUGUGGCAGCAGUGAGGAAUAUUUGUCAAUGGGCGUAAGCCUGACCCAGCCACGUCGCGUGAGGGAUGAAGGUUCUAUGGUUCGUAAACCUCUUUUUUAAGGGAGUAGAGUGCGGGACGUGUCCCGUUUUGUAUGUACCUUAUGAAUCAGGAUCGGCUCACUCCGUUCCAGCAGCCGCGGUAAUACGGAGGAUCCGAGCGUUAUCCGGAUUUAUUGGGUUUAAAGGGUGCGUAGGCGGGCUUUUAAGUCAGAGGUGAAAGGCUGUGGCUCAACCAGAGAAUUGCCGUUGAAACUGGGGGGCGUGAGUACGUUAGAGGCAGGCGGAAUGCGUGGUGUAGCGGUGAAAUGCGUAGAUAUUACGAGGAACCCCAGUGGCGAAGGCAGACUGCUAAGCCAUGACUGACGCUGAGGCACGAAAGCGUGGGGAGCAAACAGGAUUAGAUACCCGAGUAGUC
rnacentral:rRNA from 1 species